rnacentral:rRNA from 1 species
UACAGAGGGUGCAAGCGUUGUUCGGAAUUAUUGGGCGUAAAGGGCGCGUAGGCGGUGCGGUAAGUCCGCAGUGAAAUCUCUGGGCUCAACUCAGAGUCUGCUGUGGAAACUGCCGUGCUCGAGUGUGGGAGAGGUGAGUGGAAUUCCCGGUGUAGCGGUGAAAUGCGUAGAUAUCAGGAGGAACACCUGUGGCGAAAGCGGCUCACUGGACCAUAACUGACGCUGAUGCACGAAAGCUAGGGGAGCAAACAGG